CAAGAAAUAGUUUAAAAAAAAUACUAAUUUUGGAGAUUAAUGAUAAGAAUUAUUUUUUUUUCUUGA
rnacentral:tRNA from 1 species